UGUUAUUUUUAAUUCUUACAAGUAUUUUUUCAAAAAAUAGCAACUGAUAAAGAUAAUUUAAAUAAGCCGCCGAAACUCAACUUUGAACAAUAUGGCGUAAGUGACGUCAUUGAAGUAAACAAUCAUCAAGUGUCAUAAACUCAUAAACAAGUUAAUAGUUAUUUUUGUGAAUUUUUGCUGUUAGUCAAGAAAAAAAAUGUACAAAUGGUGUGUGGUGACAGUGUUCUACAAAUGUUGCUAUAAAGACACCCAGUAAACUAUUCGCAAAUGUGCCGAAAAAGCCCCAAGACUUGCAAAAGUGGUUAUACCUACAACUCGCUCGCAAAAUCCUGAUGUUGUUAGAAUUGUUGUUUUUUGUCAAGAUCAUUUUGAUUAAGUAGGUCUAUUCUAAGAAGAAGAGGGAACGAAGAGGACGCCCAGGGUAAGUGAAUUUUAAUUUUUUCUAAUUGAGGUGAAGUGUGUGAAAAUGUGAGUGCAACAUUUUAGAACACAGUAAGUAUUUAUAAGUAUCCAAAUAUGAGUGAAAAUUAAUUGAUUGUGUUGUAGAUGAAACGUAAUUCUUUCAAAGUUUUUGAAGAAAACUUCCAGACUUUUGACGAAACAUCUCUUAAAUAAUGAAGAAAAACAUUUACAGCAAGAUCGAGACUAAGUAUAUUAUAACUCUAGUGAUAUAAGUGUGUGUUGUGGACUUUCAAGUGCUUAACAGACUUUUAGUAGUGCGCGAUUUUCUAAAUUUCGUGUGAUUAAAGUGCCAAUGGAAGGGAUCUUCAGGGAACCUGGACGCUAUAAUCGUGCUACAAGGAUCAGGAU